UACGGGGGGGGCAAGCGUUGUUCGGAAUUACUGGGCGUAAAGGGCGCGUAGGCGGCCUUCUAAGUCGAACGUGAAAUCCCUGGGCUCAACCCAGGAACUGCGUCCGAUACUGGGAGGCUUGAAUCCGGGAGAGGGAUGCGGAAUUCCAGGUGUAGCGGUGAAAUGCGUAGAUAUCUGGAGGAACACCGGUGGCGAAGGCGGCAUCCUGGACCGGUAUUGACGCUGAGGCGCGAAAGCCAGGGGAGCAAACGGG
rnacentral:rRNA from 1 species